rnacentral:rRNA from 1 species
CAGUUCAGAUUGCAGGCUGNAACCCGCCUGCAUGAAGUCGGAAUUGCUGUAAUCGCGGAUCAGCAUGCCGCGGUGAAUACGUUCCCGGGCCUUGUACACACCGCCCGUCACACCAUGAGAGUCGGGAACACCCGAAGUCCGUAGUCUAACCGCAAGGAGGGCGCGGCCGAAGGUGGGUCCGGUAAUUGGGGUGAAGUCGUAACAAGGUAUC